GUAGGCACUUAGCAGUUCUUAUAAUUUUAUCAUUUUCCAGAAAUUUCCGUACAAGGAUGUACGGAAAAGGCGAUACUGAGUCCGGAUGACGAAUUAUCGCCGGUUUCGUUCCGGCGCCUCAGUAUAAAAUAAAAUUGUUAGAACUGCUUAGUGUUGA
rnacentral:ncRNA from 1 species